CGGCCACAUUGGGACUGAGACACGGCCCAGACUCCUACGGGAGGCAGCAGUGGGGAAUAUUGCACAAUGGGGGAAACCCUGAUGCAGCGACGCCGCGUGGAGGAAGAAGGUCUUCGGAUUGUAAACUCCUGUUGUUGAGGAAGAUAAUGACGGUACUCAACAAGGAAGUGACGGCUAACUACGUGCCAGCAGCCGCGGUAAAACGUAGGUCACAAGCGUUGUCCGGAAUUACUGGGUGUAAAGGGAGCGCAGGCGGGAAGACAAGUUGGAAGUGAAAUCUAUGGGCUCAACCCAUAAACUGCUUUCAAAACUGUUUUUCUUGAGUAGUGCAGAGGUAGGCGGAAUUCCCGGUGUAGCGGUGGAAUGCGUAGAUAUCGGGAGGAACACCAGUGGCGAAGGCGGCCUACUGGGCACCAACUGACGCUGAGGCUCGAAAGUGUGGGUAGCAAACAGGAUUAGAUACCCUGGUAGUCCACACCGUAAACGAUGAUUACUAGGUGUUGGAGGAUUGACCCCUUCAGUGCCGCAGUUAACACAAUAAGUAAUCCACCUGGGGAGUACGACCGCAAGGUUGAAACUCAAAGGAAUUGACGGGGGCCCGCACAAGCAGUGGAGUAUGUGGUUUAAUUCGACGCAACGCGAAGAACCUUACCAAGUCUUGACAUCCCUUGACAGGCAUAGAAAUAUGUUUUCUCUUCGGAGCAAGGAGACAGGUGGUGCAUGGUUGUCGUCAGCUCGUGUCGUGAGAUGUUGGGUUAAGUCCCGCAACGAGCGCAACCCUUAUGGUCAGUUACUACGCAAGAGGACUCUGGCCAGACUGCCGUUGACAAAACGGAGGAAGGUGGGGAUGACGUCAAAUCAUCAUGCCCUUUAUGACUUGGGCUACACACGUACUACAAUGGCGUUAAACAAAGAGAAGCAAGACCGCGAGGUGGAGCAAAACUCAGAAACAACGUCCCAGUUCGGACUGCAGGCUGCAACUCGCCUGCACGAAGUCGGAAUUGCUAGUAAUCGUGGAUCAGCAUGCCACGGUGAAUACGUUCCCGGGCCUUGUACACACCGCCCGUCACACCAUGAGAGCCGGGGGGACCCGAAGUCGGUAGUCUAACCGCAAGGAGGACGCCGCCGAAGGUAAAACUGGUGAUUGGGGUGAAGUCGUAACAAGGUAGCCGUAGGAGAACCUGCGGCUG
rnacentral:rRNA from 1 species